CAACAGCUUGGAAAGCAUUCAGUAGAACGUUCGGAUGUCACUCCCCAGAACACUGGUGUGCUGGCCUGCAGAUGUGAGCAAGCUUUAAAAAGGAGAGUGACUCAUGAAACAUCGCUUCGAGGGAAAAGACCCACAUACGACCAGUACGAGCACUUUAAACUAAGCAUCUAAGACAGCAGAAGAAAAAAUCAGAAGGAAACAAUGGAGAAGUAUAAAGAGAGACCACACACCUAACUCCUUCGACAGCUCUGGUACCGUCCCAGAGGUCACUGGAUGUGAUUUUACUUCUGCAAUAUCCCACGUUCCUGCAUUCUAAAGAAGGAAACCAACAGUAACCCAAAGUGUGAUGUCAUGUUGAGAGCUGGCAACUGCAGUUUCAGCCUGACACUCCCAAUCCUUUUACAGCCUUUCCAUGUUCUCAUCAUCCCAAGCCUGCAGCUACUUUUAUUGCUGGAGAAGAAUCAAGCAAAGGAGAAAUGAUCUCCUAGGGACAGAAUCCAGCCAAGUUGCUAUUUGCACCUUCUCAGCCCUUCCAAUUGCAUAUCAUACCAGCACAGCAUUUCUCUGGACUUAAUUCCUCACUCAUCUGGACUGAUUUGCCUUUCGUGAGCAACAGAAUGUUGUCAUACAUCAGGAUGCUGUCAUACAUCAGGUUGGAGUUUGGCCUUCUGAAGGCAGGAGAGUGAAAAAUGGUACUAAUGUCCUUCCCACACCAACCCUGUAUUCUGCAAAGGAAAGGACUCCAGCAAAGAAAGCAACUAACGUAACGGCAACCUAAGACCACGUUCUGAAUCAUCAGAGUCCUGGACUACUGCUACUGAAGGGGUUUGCCUAGAGCAUCUCUACUAGGAAGACAUCCAAUCUUGAUCUGAAAACAUCAAGAGACAGAGAAUCCAACGCUUCUUUUGAAAGAGAGACAGAGGAAGUGCCAACACAGAGGUAACCAGGAAAAUUCUAGAGUAUGGGACUUCCGCACGUCUUCACAGCACUUGAGGAUGCAGUAAGUAAAAUUGUCCCCUCUUGGAGCAUGGCAGCCUUCUCCAGUCACCUCCCACCAAAUGAAAGCCCACUAACCUGCAGCCCCAGGUACAGGAAGAGAAGAGACUGUGAGAGAAGAAUACCUCCAUGAGGACAGGGACAAGAGGCAGCAGGCCUAAAAAAUGCUUCUGCAGACCAGCAGCCAGAGGGGCUCUUCUGGCUAAGGACAUCAACCCCUGUAAUUGCAGGAGGGAGCCCACCAGGACACACAGUCAGUGAGCAGCAGAUCUCUGUCAUGCCCUUCCAGGGAGCAGGAGCUCUCCCAAGAAAUGCAUCUCUGGAAGCGACCUCAUAGGUGGUCAUCUCCUCUUUCCUGUGUAAGAGCAGCAGCUGCAGCUCCUCUGCUCACUACUCAGCCAUCCUUGCAUCCUUGCGUGGACAGCUCUGUUGCCAUCUUCUACGGAGAGGACAGAGUGGCUGUCCUGGUCCCUGAGGGCAGGGACCCGGGCCUGGCAUUCCCCGAUGCUUUCAGCAUGGACUGAGAGCAGUGCCAGUCCUUCAAGGCAGCAAAGGGCAGAAGGCAAUGAAGUUGGACGUCCACAGUGGAACUGAGAAGAUAGAGGCCCCAGUGCUGCUGCUUCUGGCUGCAGUAGGACAGGCAGCGACCCUGGGAACGGCAGAGAUAUGCCUCUGUGGGCAGCACCUCUCCUUGCUGUGGUAUCUGUCUCCUUCAAUACCCCUGCUUCACUUUCAGAGAAGGAUCUAUCCCUACCUCCCCCAAUGCUUGUGCCAGGCUCAGGCACUCCCUGCAGCCAGAGACCUGCACAGCCAUGUGGGCACUCAGACUGGGUCACCACAGUGAGCUCAGGGAGAGGAAGGGGUUGAUCCAGAGUGGCAGCAGCCACAGGGACCUGGAGAUGCUGGCUCCUGUUGCCUGCAGGCAGCUGGCCUGUGUGCUGCUUCCUGGUCUGUCACAGCCUCCAAAUCCCACUGGAGCCAACCUCCCAGUCCCCCACAUGCAGGAACUAACAGGGUACACAAGGUGGUGAUCCUUGUCCCUACCCUUCCAUCCAGGAAUAGCUAGCAGUGCCACAGGGCAAGGAAACUCCUCAAGACUGGACUGUGAAAGCCCUAGAGUAGCUAGUAAAACCAUGACAUCAUGUCCAACCCACAGGCCGCUUGCAACCCAGCCCAGCAUGUUUUGCUGCCAACCCCUGUUCUGCACCGCAAUGGCAGCACUGAGCAGCCCUGCUUGGCCCUGCGUGUGCAGCCAUCACACCCAUCACUCACAGCAACCACACAACAGUGUGCUGUCAGUGCUGUGCAGGCUGCAACCAGGUGACGUCGCAGUGCAGUGCCAGCUAAAGUGGUGGCAAAUAAUUAUAUGCAUUUUGAUACGUUGGCUGAACAGUGUCCUGGAAAGACUGAAAAACGUGCAGCUGUGCUUUCUGUGUUGAUAAAGGAGUUUUUAGAACAGGUUUCAAGAGUGUCAAAAAAAUCAAUUUUUUAAAAAAUAUAUUUGAAACUCUAUUUUCAGUUAACAUAAAUACAUUCCUUGUGAUUUUUCAAAUGGAAUAUGUAGAGUUGCAAUCAGAUAUUCAAUGCAAAGAAAAAUGUGACCGUGUCUCUUUACCGGGUUUCUAUAAGCCCUCUCUUACGAGAUAAAGGUAUCUCACAUUUCACAACCAUUAUUGAUGUCAUCACUUUCUGGCAGCACGCACAUCUGUGAGCAACUGUUUUCAAGGAUGAAGUACAAGAAGAGUAAGAUUUCAUCAAAAAUCUCUGGUAAACACCGUUAGAGCUCACUGAGAAUUGUGCCCACUGCCAUCAAACCAGACUGAUGUGUUAGUUUCACUGGCACAAGGUCACACAUCUCACUAACAGUAUGGUUUUGUUGCUCUCUUUUAAAAAAAAUGUUUGAAUAAAGAACAUUUUAAUUUCUUUUUCA
ensembl:lncRNA